rnacentral:tRNA from 1 species
GCCUGCAUAGUACAUCGGUAGUACACAUCCUUGGUAAGGAUGAAAGACAAGUUCGACUCUUGUUGCAGGCACCA